UACAGAGGAUGCAAGCGUUAUCCGGAAUGAUUGGGCGUAAAGCGUCUGUAGGUGGCUUUUUAAGUCCGCCGUCAAAUCCCAGGGCUCAACUCUGGACAGGCGGUGGAACUACCAAGCUGGAGUACGGUAGGGGCAGAGGGAAUUUCCGGUGGAGCGGUGAAAUGCGCAGAUAUCAGGAGGAACACCGGUGGCGAAGGCGGUUCUCUGGGCAUGUCCUGACGCUGAGGAGCGAAAGUGUGGGGA
rnacentral:rRNA from 1 species